AUCGGACCGCAGCAGCCUUGUGGCCCGGAGCUUCCCCUCAAACUAUCUCAAUCGCGUCACCGGUGCGCGCACACGCGCCGUUGGUCACAAAAUAGACAGCGCACCCGGAAAGCUGGAGUCGUGCGGCCUCCCGGGGCCCGGUCCCUUCCCCUCUACUGCGACCCCUUUCCCAAGUGUGACGUUCGUGCUGACUGUGUGCGUGUGAGUGUGUGCGGCUAACCUACUCACAUACCAACAAAAGUGCACAUGUACAGCCAGCAUUGUGCUCCAGGUUUUUGUUAUUGCAACACGGCGAUGAUAAACUUAUCAACGCUUAUAAAUGUUGAUACUGCUGUGCCUUUAACGUGAUGUGAAUUAUAUAAAUUAUGCGCUCCCUUCGUGGUGAUGCUAAUUGUUCACUCGCCAUCUCCUCUCCUUCCUCACUUAUAGAACACUAAAUUUGUUGGAGGUACCGGUGUAUGCGGUUAAAAUAAUUAGUUUCCCAGAGUCUCUUAGAGUUAGUCAUUAUGAGCCAGCACUGGCAAGAACACGUAAGCCGAAACUCACUGGGACCGUUUUCUGGGCCAUUGAGUAUAUAUUUACCUUAUCUAGACAUUUUGCCUUUGAUUUUUUUCCUCCCUGGAACUCGGAUGUGGUGGCUGGAUGGGUGGCAGCCUUAUAGCAAUCAUGAGUCCGAGUCCUUUACCAGAAAUGGUGGAACAGAAAGAUCUGUGGGGUCUGAGGCUUUAAUGAUUUCUUGACGCCUUUGACUGAAUCCUCAAUAGAGCUUCUCUAAAGCUCUGUGGAAAAAAUAAUCUGUGAAAAUAAAAACCCACUUCAUAAUUCUGACGAAUACUUCUUGUUUUGUUUUUACAUCCAUGACGUUCUCGGGCAACUGAGUUCCUGCCGCUCACAGGUCAUGGGGCGCUUUCUGUGCUAAUACGUGCAGUUGUUCCUUUUCAACCGGCCGGUAAUAAUAGGCCAAGAGAGCACUGGUGACGCUUUUGUGUGCUUCCUGCCUGCCGUGUGCCAGGAACUGCUCGGCCCUUUCCUCAGCGAGACGCGGAAGCGGCUGCGUGAGGACGCGCUCAAGCAGCUGGGCGAGGGCGGCGGGACGAGCCUUCCCUGCCUGUCCUCAGCUGCUCUCGCUUGGGAACCCUGCAGUGACCCAAGAAACCUCCUGUGCCCUGCAGGCUUCCUCCCCAAUCAGAACGCGGCUUCUACACGCUUGGCCAAUCAGAGUGUUGCUCCCACACGCCUGACCAAUCAGAGUGUCAGUCUCACAAGUCCCACCAAUCAGGGCGCUGGUCCCACAGACCUAACCGAUCAGAACAGACCCAGCCAAUCAGAGUGCUGUCGUUGUCACUGUGGGAAAGCAUUUUCUACUUCGUACCCCCAAGACUUCUCAUUAAUACAAUCAUCCUAAACACUGGUGAAACCAAACAUAGCUACAGAUGUUAACUAGCAAGCAAACGAGACUUGGAUGUGGGGGGAUGUGGACCACUCAAUGGAAUACAGACUUUUAAAAAAAUUAUCUGUAAUUACUGGGUAAGAAAAUAUGAGCACUGUAUGAAAAAUAAGCUCUGUACUUUUGAGGAAAAGACCAUCAUAAAGAAUGGGAAUACUGUUCCUUUUUAUUUCCAUGAAUUGAGAUAAUUUGGGCUCUCGGGAUUAAUGGAAGUUUCCACCAUCAAUAAAGC
rnacentral:lncRNA from 1 species